GUGACACGUGUCGUAAUUCUAUAGGUCGGAACCUUAUCCGAUGUCGGAAAAUGUAAUCCUCCGUGUCUCAACCCAGAAUCCGUCCAAAUUCCACGAACCAUUUCCAUUAACAAAUUCCGCCAACACCGAAACACAGCUUCAAUUAAGAGCAAGAUCCCAAAAAAGAAGCCCCCCUUGUUUCGGAAAAAACAAAAAGAAGUGAAACCUAAGAGUGAUCGGGAAUGGCGUCCCCGACCUGCUUCUUCCACCACAAUGCGCUCGCCUCGCCGGUCGGCGCCGUCAGGACGUUUCAGCGCCACGUGUCGGCGAUCCGGCCGUUUCAAGUGAUUUGCCAGGCGACCCAGAAGCAUGGGGACGAGGCGACGUCUGUGUCAAGGAGGUUAGCGGUCGGAAUCAUGAUCGGAGCCGCCGCCGCAGCGUCCAAAGUCUCCCCCGCCGAUGCCGCUUACGGCCAAGCCAGUAACUUUAAUUUCACCUUUUCAUUUUCUUGUGAAUUUUCAUGGUUCUUUAAAUUUUAUAAUCCAAUUAAGACCAGACAUUGUAGUUCAUCUAGAACCAAGGAUGUAACAAAAGGGCGGGCGUGAAUCUAACCGGUUUUCGGGUUUUGAUUUAGAUUGAUGAUUAUGCUUGUUCUGUUUCUAAAAUGGAAAAAAAAGAAAGGAGAAUCACAAUAAGGAUAUAUUCAUUUGAUACUAUAUAGUUGUUAACUGUUCCAAGAAUCAAGGUAUAUAUCGGACAACAAGAACCAUCCUGUAACUUAUUUAUGACAAUCUUGAUCGUAAAUCCGUUAGGGUUUGCGUUUGAACGUUGAAACUGCGAAGGUUUUUGGGAAACCGAAGACGAACACGGACUAUAUACCAGUAGAAGGUGAAGGGUUCAAACUCAACGUGCCGUCGAAGUGGAACCCUAGCAAAGAAGAAGAGUAUCCAGGACAAGUUCUCAGAUACGAGGACAACUUCGAUGCCAACAGUAAUGUCAAUGUCAUGGUCAGUCACCGACACUGACAAGAAGUCCAUCACUGACUAUGGUUCCCCCGAACAGUUCCUUGCCAAGUUUAACUAUCUUCUCGGGAAGCAAGCUUAUUUCGGUGAGACCGCCUCCGAGUUUGAUGACGGGGAGGGUUUGAUGCCAAUGCGGUGGCGACGGCGACGGCCAACAUUCUCGAGACGGGGACUCCGGUUGUGGAGGGGA